CCCGGGACAGCUGGCCUCCUCCGCCCCCAGCCCUCCUCUGCAGCUGAGGGCUGCAAACCCAGCAGGCGUGCGCUGGCAUGCACCCUCCCUGCUCCAUCUAGUCUGCCCCAGCCUGGAAGCUGAAUCCCACCCCGGGAGACAGGAAAAGGCACCGGGAGAGGAACUGGAAAAGGCCAAAAUAAGAGUGCAGGAUCACAGUCAAGGCUGCGGAGCCAGGAAAGACAGCGAUGCAGACUCCGGACCAGGACCUGCUGCACUGAGAAGCCUGUGGAUGGCAGGAGGCCAGGGAAGGAUACAAGCAGGUCCAGGAGGGAGGGCGGCCGCGCUCCAGAAAUGAGGAGCGGGAACUUGGAUCAGCAACUGGUCCCUGCAUGGUGAACUUGACCAUUCGCGGGGGCUCCCAAGGACGGUGAAGAUAGGGGGUGUGGCCGAAAGGACACAAAGGCUAAACACAGCUACGGGGGUCGGGGGGGGGGGGGUAAGGGUGGUGGUGACAAGGACCGAAGGACACCUUUCUGAGAACCAACUAGGGACUGUAAAGACAAUUGAACUGGGGGUGGAUUUGUAUGAGAAAGCUGGAGCAGCAAAGAAAGGAAAAUCAUGAUUGAAGAGUGGAGAAAGAGAAGAGUUAGAAGCCAAAGAAAGCAAACUGCUCCCGGAACUAAAAGAAAAAGGAAAUCAAUAAAGGAAAAUUUUCAGAGCACAUGGCAGAGCGAACUUGUUCCUGAAACUACCAACAGAGGGAGGUAAAAAGGGGUGGGGGCGCCGAGCAUACUGGAGGAACCAAGAGAAGGAAGGAAAGGAGAGAAGACUGGAUGCAAAUUAAACCAGACACGACAUAGACACAGAUAAAUCUGGCCACAACAGCUGCCCAUUCUUCUCUCCAUGCAAAGUACUGGAUAUCUGUUCCAAGGCAAUCUCCUUAUCAUGGAUGCAUCCGAAUUGCUAACAGGUGUCUGAGCUCUGUGCUUCCUCAUCCAUGACAUGAGUUUUGAGCAAGACAAACCACGGCAGCUACUCUCAGCACUCAGGAGAUGAAGGUAGAAAGAUACCAAGUUGGAAACCAACCCGGACUCUAAUGCAAGAGUCUCAGGCCACCUAGAGCUACACAAGAUCUUUCCAGAAGACC